GGUCACUACCAAGGACAAGAGAGUCAAUUAGUAUGCAGAUCAGAGCCAAGGAGUUCAAAGGUGUGAUGGCGGAUUAAAUCCAUGACAGGAUACAGUGAUAAUGCCCACUGUAGAGCCAUCUGGUGUAAAGGUCCCUAAGAAUGGUACAACUGAAAUGGGAGAAUGAAGAAAUGUAUUGGCUAUGACAAGAAGAAGUAAUUGCUUUUCCUCAAAGGAUCAGAUGUGG